rnacentral:rRNA from 1 species
GAUGAACGCUGGCGGCGUGCUUAACACAUGCAAGUCGAACGGAAAGGCCUCAGCUUGCUGGGGUACUCGAGUGGCGAACGGGUGAGUAACACGUGGGUGAUCUGCCCUGCACUUUGGGAUAAGCUUGGGAGACUGGGUCUAAUACCGAAUAUGACCACUUCUUGGAUGUUGUGGUGGAAAGCUUUUGCGGUGUGGGAUGAGCCUGCGGCCUAUCAGCUUGUUGGUGGGGUAAUGGCCUACCAAGGCGGCGACGGGUAUCCGGCCUGAGAGGGUGUACGGACACAUUGGGACUGAGAUACGGCCCGGACUCCUACGGGAGGCAGCAGUGGGGAAUAUUGCACAAUGGGCGCAAGCCUGAUGCAGCGACGCCGCGUGGGGGAUGAAGGCCUUCGGGUUGUAAACUCCUUUCGCUAUCGACGAAGCCACUUGUGGUGACGGUAGGUAGAUAAGAAGCACCGGCUAACUACGUGCCAGCAGCCGCCGUAA